AGGACGAACGCUGGCGGCGUGCUUAACACAUGCAAGUCGAGCGGAAAGGCCCUUCGGGGUACUCGAGCGGCGAACGGGUGAGUAACACGUGAGCAACCUGCCCUUAGCUCUGGGAUAGCUCCGGGAAACCGGAAUUAAUACCGGAUAUGACCUAGGCCGACAUCGGCCGUGGUGGAAAGUUUUUCGGCUAGGGAUGGACUCGCGGCCUAUCAGCUAGUUGGUGGGGUAAUGGCCUACCAAGGCAUCGACGGGUAGCUGGUCUGAGAGGACGAUCAGCCACACUGGGACUGAGACACGGCCCAGACUCCUACGGGAGGCAGCAGUGGGGAAUCUUGCGCAAUGGGCGAAAGCCUGACGCAGCAACGCCGCGUGGGGGAUGAAGGCCUUCGGGUUGUAAACCCCUUUCAGCAGGGACGAAGCGAAAGUGACGGUACCUGCAGAAGAAGCGCCGGCUAACUACGCGCCAGCAGCCGC
rnacentral:rRNA from 1 species